rnacentral:lncRNA from 1 species
UCAGAGACUCUGGAGUCCUCUUAGCACCUGUUCCUUCCUUCCUCGCUUGUCUCGUCACUCACCGAAUGCUGCAGAUGCUGCGGAUGUUGCUCGUGCUUUCACACGGUUUACCUUCCCUCCUAGGUGCCUGGGCUCUGGCCAGCCUCGUCUUCGGCCUGCAGGGGCCCUGGGCAGUCAGCCUCCUCCUCUUGCACUCUGCUUUGGGUUCGACUCGACCCUCUGAAGAUAACCAGCCUUGUCCCUGGCUCCCAGUUGCCUGACAGGAGAAGGAGAAACUGUACAUGGAACUGAAGCACAUCUUGGCACGGCAGCCUGGCCCCGAGGCUGCAGAACAGCUGCAGAUCUAUCGGCACACCCUGCGGGAGAAGACCAAGCAGCUGAAGGUUUUGUCUUCAGAAUUGAAUAUGUAUGAAUCACAGAGCCAAGAAUAUAAGUAUGAGAUCGAGAAACUUGGCAACGAACUGAUAAAUGUAAAGAAGAAAUACCUUGCUCAGAAACGUAAAGAGCUUAUUCAAAAGAACAAAGACAAACUACCCAUAGAUAACACCUUGAUCGCCAAACCUCCUGGCCCUCAUUUUAUUGGGGGUGGAUUUCCCCUCACCAAGACACCCAAGGCAUUUAGAAGGGACUGCUCAGUGACUUUUGGAGACUUUGGCCAAGAUUUUGCUGAGGAGUGGAGAUGGGAGGGGAACUCACCGAUCCCUGUGAGGCACUUGGAAAAUAUAAGCAGAUACUUAAGCCACAGCUGGGCAAGUUUUGUAGGUUUGGAAUUUCAGCUUUUUCCACGGGCCAGGCAUUGAGAUUCUGGGGAAUGGACUGGAUAAGACCGAACAGGACUCUGCUCCAGGGGGU